UGAGGAAUAUUGGACAAUGGGCGAAAGCCUGAUCCAGCAAUACCGCGUGAGUGAAGAAGGCCUUAGGGUUGUAAAGCUCUUUCAGCAGGGAAAAUAAUGAUGGUACUUGCAAAAGAAGUCCCGGCUAACUCCGUGCCAGCAGCCGCGGUAAUACGGAGGGGACUAGCGUUGUUCGGAUUUACUGGGCGUAAAGAGCGCGUAGGCGGUUUAGUAAGUUAGAAGUGAAAGCCCAGGGCUCAACCCUGGAACU
rnacentral:rRNA from 1 species